rnacentral:rRNA from 1 species
GACAGAGGUGCCAAGCGUUAGGCGGAAUCACUGGGCUUAAAGCGUGUGUAGGCGGGUCGUUAAGUACCUUGUGAAAUCCCCCGGCUCAACCGGGGAACGGCUGGGUAUACUGGCGAUCUUGAGCCACCUAGGGGCAGUCGGAACAAGUGGUGGAGCGGUGAAAUGCGUAGAUAUCACUUGGAACGCCAAUGGUGAAAACAGACUGCUGGGGGUGUGCUGACGCUGAGGUGCGAAAGCGUGGGGAGCAAACAGG